UACAGAGGUCUCAAGCGUUGUUCGGAUUCAUUGGGCGUAAAGGGUGCGUAGGCGGCGCGGUAAGUCGGGUGUGAAAUCUCGGAGCUUAACUCCGAAACUGCAUCGAUACUGCCGUGCUUGAGGACUGGAGAGGAGACUGGAAUUUACGGUGUAGCGGUGAAAUGCGUAGAUAUCGUAAGGAAGACCAGUGGCGAAGGCGGGUCUCUGGACAGUUCCUGACGCUGAGGCACGAAGGCCAGGGGAGCAAACAGG
rnacentral:rRNA from 1 species